UACGUAGGGGGCGAGCGUUGUCCGGAUUCAUUGGGCGUAAAGCGCUCGCAGGUGGCCCGUCGCGUCGUGCGUGAAAGACCCCGGCUCAACUGGGGGAUGUCGUGCGAUACGGGCGGGCUGGAGGCCAGUAGGGGGAUGCGGAAUUCCGGGUGUAGUGGUGGAAUGCGUAGAGAUCCGGAGGAACACCAGCGGCGAAGGCGGCAUCCUGGACUGGUCCUGACACUCAGGAGCGAAAGCGUGGGGAGCGAUCCGG
rnacentral:rRNA from 1 species